rnacentral:rRNA from 1 species
GAUGAACGCUGGCGGCGUGCCUAAUACAUGCAAGUCGAGCGAACAGACGAGGAUCUUGCUCCUUUGACGUUAGCGGCGGACGGGUGAGUAACACGUGGGUAACCUACCUAUAAGACUGGGAUAACUUCGGGAAACCGGAGCUAACACCGGAUAAUAUUUCGAACCGCAUGGUUCGAUAGUGAAAGAUGGCUUUGCUGUCACUUAUAGAUGGACCUGCGCCGUAUUAGCUAGUUGGUAAGGUAACGGCCUACCAAGGCGACGAUACGUAGCCGACCUGAGAGGAUGAUCGGCCACACUGGAACUGAGACACGGUCCAGACUCCUACGGGAGGCAGCAGUAGGGAAUCUUCCGCAAUGGGCGAAAGCCUGACGGAGCAACGCCGCGUGAGUGAUGAAGGUCUUCGGAUCGUAAAACUCUGUUAUUAGGGAAGAACAAAAGUGUAAGUAACUGUGCACGUCUUGACGGUACCUAAUCAGAAAGCCACGGCUAACUACGUG